CGUGAGAUGUUGGGUUAAGUCCCGCAACGAGCGCAACCCUUGUUACUAGUUGCCAGCAUUAAGUUGGGCACUCUAGUGAGACUGCCGGUGACAAACCGGAGGAAGGUGGGGACGACGUCAGAUCAUCAUGCCCCUUAUGACCUGGGCUACACACGUGCUACAAUGGACGGUACAACGAGUCGCGAACUCGCGAGGGCAAGCAAAUCUCUUAAAACCGUUCUCAGUUCGGACUGCAGGCUGCAACUCGCCUGCACGAAGUCGGAAUCGCUAGUAAUCGCGGAUCAGCAUGCCGCGGUGAAUACGUUCCCGGGCCUUGUACACACCGCCCGUCACACCAUGAGAGUUUGUAACACCCAAAGUCGGUGGGGUAACCUUUUAGGAGCCAGCCGCCUAAGGUGGGA
rnacentral:rRNA from 2 species